UGCUGAAAAGAGCCGCCACGUCCUACCUACGGGGUGGCAGCGUAUCUGUGAUAUGCGGGGGUGGCAUUGCCACCAUCACCGCUGCUGUCGGUACGAAGAUGCUCAUCGAUGGUUCGUGUCCGGGAUUUCUACAACCGGGUGGUUGGAGUGAGUUGCCCGACAUCAGCCUCAUGCGAAGUUGAGAUCGUAUCUCGUUUUUCUUAUUUAUGUGUAACAUUUGCCUUUAGAAGGAAAAACUAAAUUGCGUUUAACACAGAUAGUUUCAUCUUACAGAAAAUAAGGACUCUAUUUUGCAACUGGUUUACCUCUCCUAGCGAAGAUGCCUACUUGUCUUUACAUAUAAAUGGGAUAAUAUACCUAUCUCUUAUCUCUCUAUUAAUAUAUUCGUAUAAAUAAGAGUCAGAGAUUCAAUGAAUUAUAUGAUUUUAUAUUUUACAUUUGGUGAAUAAAAUUUAAUAAAAGAUAUGUAAAUACAGUAAAAUGAAUUAAGUGAGGCGUAAAUUGAUCUGUGAACGAGCGAAAGAGAGAGAAAGUGAUAGCGUUACGGAGAGGCAAGAUCGUAGAUGAAUAAGAGGGGAAGAAAGAUAGCGGUUGGUGGUACAGAGAAGACAGAGUGUAGGGUGCUGAAGAUCGAUAGAUAUAUGAAAGUGGAAAGCAACAUGGAAAGUGAUACCGGGAAACUCGUAGAGUAGCUUCUUAAAUUUUGUCUUCUCCCAAAUUUAAAUAAACGCUUUUCGAUCCCGACCGACAUCAAUUCAAUCGAUUAUUUUUUUCUUUCUUUUUGCGCUAAAACAAGUUUUUCCCGUAACAGUGAUUACGAUGGUUACGAGGGAUACUUCAGAUACGUUGACCGCGUCUAAUUAAUCUUACAUAUAUGUAUGCAUUAUACAUCAAUCUCGAGUUAAAUUGAAACCUUCAAACAAAAUGUUCUAAUUUCAGAUUUCAUCAAUUUACUUGAUAGUUAUUAACCGAAGAUUGAUAUUCUCGAUAGAUCUGACCAAUACUCGCUAGCCUGUUUGUAUUAAUGGAGAAGACAGGUAAUUUCGUACGUUACGUUUAGUUCUGUUUAGCUGCCUAUUGCACUUGCAGGUAUCCAGGUAUAAAUUUCAAGUUGAGUGUCAAGAGCGCAGGCUUUAGGUUUUGACAGCUCAAGUACAAGCGAUUAAUUGGCCUACCAUUAUCGUCCCUUUACUGUCCUCUGCAACGUAGAGCCAGAGCUUGGCUACAGACGCAGAUCGAUGGUGGAUUCAUCAAAUACUCGACACGGAAAUAGUCGAGAUUAACUCGACAAUUUUUGACGAUAGUAGGGAUAUAUCCGGCAUAUACUGGUAGAUGAAUGUCUCGCUAGAGUGGUACACAGAGACACGGUUUAUCCGCACUGUCAACUCGCCGGAUUAAAUCCCGACAUGGUGACGGCGUGAAAUUUUCUGGGAAAGUUACGGUCAACCCUGAAAGAUGUCUUUGAUUAAAUUUUCAAGGCAUAAAGGUUGCUCUGCUCAUCGCACCUGUGUUUAUCUUUCCGCGAAAAAAUUACAUACCGCGUUAACAUUAUGUUACAGUGUUACAGCAAAAAAUCAUUAAUCGUAUAGAUGUAACGGAUGUAAAAUUGUUUUCAAAUUUUUAAUUAAUAGAAUCCUUACAGAAAUUUAAUAUUAAGAAUUACUGAAUAAUUUUUAGUGAUUAAGCACUAUUAGUAAUUCAGUAAUUUUUUGGCCAGUGCUUAAUUAUUGGUUAAAUACUGGCAAUAAUAAAAUACUUAAAAUUAUUGGGUAAAACUUUUUCAUUUCUGAGUUUACGGUAUUUUCAAUAGCAGAGUACUCUAGGCAAUAUAAUAAAUAUUUCUUUUAGGAUUAAGAUUGUAUUCUACUGGCGAAUCUUUAUAUAGAUUUGAAGCAAAUCGUAUUACUUCUAACUCCAUUUUUAGUGUAGUUGAGCAAACAAAUGAACUUGUAGCUAUCUUUCCACAAAUGUUAUUAACAAAAUGUAUUAUAACACGACAUCCAAAUAAUAUAAGAAAAUUUUCUUGUUUUCCUUUAGUGAAUUCAGUUGAAAGAGACUAAAUUCUGCGCAAUAAUAAGAAAGGCAGUUCAUGAGAUUCUGCUACAAUUGAUGUAUACUUAAUAAAUCGUUUGACUUAAAAUAUAUCAUUUGAUAUACA